rnacentral:snRNA from 1 species
GUGCUCGCUUCGGCAGCACAUAUACUAAAAUUGGAAUGAUACAGAGAAGAUUAGCAUGGCCCCUGUGCAAGGAAGGAUGACACACAAAUUCGUGAAGCGUUCCAUAUUUUA